CCCGAGCCACAGCAGUGGCAAUGCCAGGUCCUUAACCUGCUGAGCCGCCAGGGAAUUCCAUCUUGUCUUUAAACUUACAGGAUACCCAGGUUCAUAACAUCACCUAGAGAUGAAUGAGAAAGCACAAGACUGCAUGUGGGCACAUCCUCCCCCAUUCCACACGGGACGUGCCCCAAGCAAACAUUUGCAGAUGUCACACCUGCAGAGGUGGGGACCGUAUCCCCCUUUGCAGACUCAGAACGUAAGUCACACUCCUUACUAUGGCUGACAAGACCCCACCUGUUCUGGCCCCUGGCCACCGCUCAUGCCUCCUCUCCUCCCACUCCCCCCUCUCCCUUGGCUCACGUGGUCCCUUCUUCAUCCUUGUCUCCGCUGCCUAGAAUAAUGCCCUAGUACAGGAGUGGAAUCAGGGGCUGCAAGGGAAAUUUCUCUAAGGAAGUGACCUGUGGGCACAGCUGAAUAACUGGGGAAGCCGUGCAAAUACCCCGUGUGAAGAAGCAUGCAUACAGACAUGUAUACAGAUAUGUCUUCACAAUGACCCGAUUUUCUACAUGGGGUGCUCAGUGAGGCUCCCUGCAGGGAGGCAGCCUCAGGUGUGGGAUGCAGACCUGAUUAGCGGGAGUGGUUCUGCUCUGGUGGCCAAGUACCACCUUCCCAUCCCCACAUCAGCCGGAGAGCAGUGUCAAGGGCCAGUGGGCAGAGAACAAGCCUGGCGGAUUCAGGUCUUGAAGCAGCACCCUCAGGGCAGGAUGAUGGAAAGGCAUAAUGCCCCCUCCUCCUUGGAAGCCUCCAGCCCCAUCCCAUCCCCCAAGCCUUUCUCGACCCCCACGGUAGAGGAAGUUAUGGGUGGAAAAUAUCCCUUUGCAUUUCCAAGGUGGAAAGAGAGCUGCCCGGGCUGCAGGAGAAGGUGCAGUUUCAUUGGGUAGCUUCCCUUGGAUUUCAGGGGCUGAUGGUUAAAGAACAGUGAAUAAAUGGAUGCUACUAAGGCAUGUUUAACCCGGGGCCCCCAAACACAGACUGGUAAUAGUCCCGCAGACCUCUGACUUCAGCCACGGGCUAUGAAACAGUCCUUCCACUGGCCCAGAACGUGACACUGGGGGGAAUUUCAAGCACCGCAGUAGAUGUUACUGUCUCCGUCCGCUCUGUUGAUAUUACUAUCAUUCCGGUUUCUUCUCUUACUAAAAGCAGAUUCGCUCCUGGCACAGGAAUGAUAGCAACCUUACACCGAACAUUACUCGGCGCCAGGCAUUCUUCUUAAUUGUCUUGGUGUCCAGCGCGAGGGCCGGGAGGGAGCCAGGGUCGUGGGAUGCAGUUCCCGAGGUGCCCACUGGGAGGCGCAGGAGCAACAGUCUGUCCGGAGGAACCGGGCGCCUAGGCUGGGGACUGACCUCCAGGGACAGGGUAGGGAGGGGGAGGAAGAACCUCCCCAUCUGCGACAGAGGAACCUCCCAGGUCGCCGCUUCGACCUGGGAGGUCCCCUGUGGUCUCACCCCAGCUCCGGUUCUGACAAAGGCCUUCCCUUUGCUUUCCAGAAAUUUGCUUUCCAGAAAUGUUUCUCCUUGGAGAUUCGCAAAUCAGGGAACAGGUUCCAAUCCAAGGCCACGGGCUUGGCCACAGAUGGAAUGAGGGUAAACAAGUUGGGGCGGAGAGGGGGACGGGGGCUCUUGCAGAGUGAAGUGGGAGGCACAAGGUGAUCAGGGGUCAAGGCCAGAUCUGUGGUCAGCCUUCUUGGGUUUGAUAGUUGACCAGCCUUCUGCGUCCUGAUCUUGGGGUUUUUGUGCAGAUGCUGGGGUGGAGAUGAGAGACUCUGUGGGAGAGGGGGAGAUGCGGGACCAGGUACCGUGGCAGGUGGGGCCCACUGAGCUCUUCUCUCCUUGUGACUUGACUCUUCUUCCAUGUGUGGGCAGUGCCCCAUGUGCCCGAUUCACAUUUGGGAGAAGAGAAACAGGUGAGGUGGGAAGCCCUGGACUUUUCCAGGAACACUGUCAGGCAAAGCUAGGAAGGGGGCCCAGAACAGGCACCCACGGAUUUAUGGGCACCUUGCGUGUACACCUGAGGGCACAAAACCUUCUGCUGCUUUGGCAGCACAUCAACUCCACACCUGAUGUGUUUCUCCAUGCACAGCAGGGACCUGGUGUUUGUGUCUCUGUAAGAAACAGCUGGAGAGCCACAGCACAAGUUGGCCGUUUUCGUAGUAACGAAGGCCCUUCUUUGUGGGUGUUCCCCGCGGGCCUUGGGAAACCGUUAUACCCAGAGCACCUCACCUGAGAGUUCCCUCUGCUGCUGGCUUUGUGUUCCUCCAAAGCACCUGGUCUGGGGCUCUGCCCAGAAUGGGCGGCCUCGUCUACACUGCUGAUCCUGCCCCUGGAAACAGGCUUCACCAAGGGGCCCUGUGCCAUCAGUCCACAGACUUCAUGGAGAUUGCGGGAUCCUUCCGCAGCUGAGAAUGAGAGGUCUUUUAGGCUCUCUGCCCAGCUCUGAUCUGCAUCCUGCCUCCUUGAUUCCUCAACUCCGUGCAGCUCAGGUCCCACUCUGGCUUCCUGGCAUCACGCUCACCCCUGCGGGGGGGAAGGAGAGAAGACAUCUUCUGUUCCCUUGGAGCCCACUGGCAUGGCACGCGGCCCCUCGGGGAAGGCUUCAAAGAAACAGAUUCUUGCUUGAUCCCUGACCUGCUCGCACAAAGCAUCCACGGCAGGAAGGCCCAGUGACCCGGCUGAGUGAGCCCCAGCAUCGCCACCCACCGAGCACAGCUGCUCUGCUAAUUUUAGAAGACUGAGAAGCCACCUGACAUCAAGGCACCAAGAUCCACACCACAGCCUAUCUCAGGAGCUGAUCUGGGGAAACUCUGCCAGGAUGGAGAACCACUGACUUCCAAGGAUGGAGUCCAACCUCCUCCUUCCCGUGGCACCCAAGACGUCUCUCGACUGGGCCCCUGGCCCCCUCUCUAGCCAGCUUCACACCUGCCUCUCCAUGCCUUCACCUUCCAGCAACCCUGAACGGCUUAUGGCUCCCACCACCACACCGUGGCUCAUGCCGCUCAGGCCCAAAACACCCUCCCUACUGGUCCAGCAUCACCUCCUACAGGAAGCCGGUCCUGGCUACUCACUUGGGCAUCUUUCCUCACCCCACAGUGCUCCCUACAACCUUGGAUGUAUCUCUGUUAUUCAACAUUCAUUCACAUUCUUUUUUUUUUUUU